rnacentral:rRNA from 1 species
UAGGCGUAAAUGAUGCGAGUUAAGUGUGGGGGCAUCUACGAGAUGGCCCUGUGCUGUAGGGUAGCCGUUAAACUCGCUGCCUGGGGAGUACGGUCGCAAGGCUGAAACUUAAAGGAAUUGGCGGGGGGAGGCACCACAACGGGUGGAGCUUGCGGUUUAAUUGGAUUCAACGCCGGAAAUCUUACCGGGACCGACAGCAACAUGAAGGCCAGGCUGAAGACUUUGCCGGAUUAGCUGAGAGGAGGUGCAUGGCGUAGUCGUGU